GACAGAGGAUGCAAGCGUUAUCCGGAAUGAUUGGGCGUAAAGCGUCUGUAGGUGGUUUAUUAAGUCUACUGUUAAAGAUCAGGGCUUAACCCUGAGCAGGCAAUAGAAACUAAUAAGCUAGAGUACGGUAGGGGCAGAGGGAAUUCCCGGUGUUGCGGUGAAAUGCGUAGAGAUCGGGAAGAACACCAACGGCGAAAGCACUCUGCUGGGCCGAAACUGACACUGAGAGACGAAAGCUAGGGGAGCAAAUGGG
rnacentral:rRNA from 1 species